rnacentral:rRNA from 1 species
ACUGCUCAGUAACACGUGGAUAACCUACCCUUGGGACUGGGAUAACCCCGGGAAACUGGGGAUAAUACCAGAUAAGUCAUCGAUGUUGGAAUGCACGGUGGCUCAAAGUUCUGGCGCCCAAGGAUGGGUCUGCGGCCGAUUAGGCUGUUGCCGGAGUAACGUCCCGGCAAACCUGUAAUCGGUACGGGUUGUGAGAGCAAGAGCCCGGAGAUGGAUUCUGAGACACGAAUCCAGGCCCUACGGGGCGCAGCAGGCGCGAAACCUUUACAAUGUACGAAAGUAUGAUAAGGGGACUCCGAGUGUCGACACAUGUGUCGACUGUCCAGAUACCUAAAAAGCAUCUGAUAGCAAGGGCCGGGUAAGACCGGUGCCAGCCGCCGCGGUAACACCGGCGGCUCGAGUGGUAGCCACUAUUAUUGAGUCUAAAGCGUCCGUAGCCGGUUUGAAAAGACCUUUGGGAAAUCUUACAGCUUAACUGUCGGGCUUCCAGGGGAAACUCUCAGACUUGAGACCGGGAGAGGUUGGAGGUACUUCAGGAGUAUGAGUGAAAUCUUGUGAUCCCUGGGGGACCACCGGUGGCGAAGGCGUCCAACUGGAACGGGUCUGACGGUGAGGGACGAAAGCUAGGGGCGCGAACCGGAUUAGAUACCCGGGUAGUCCUAGCCGUAAACGAUGUGAGCUAGGUGUCAGUCACACCGCGAGUGUGGCUGGUGCCGUAGGGAAGCCGUGAAGCUCACCACUUGGGAAGUACGGCCGCAAGGCUGAAACUUAAAGGAAUUGGCGGGGGAGCAC